rnacentral:lncRNA from 1 species
AGAUAAAGCUUAGUCUUAAAACUUGAACAACACUUCUUGCACUUGGUAUGGUGCUUACUGGAUGUUCUAGCUACUGUGAGGAACAGUGAAAGAGGAACUACUGUGGUCUGUGGCUGUAGGCAAGCUCUUGUUUUGUGUGGACCUUCCUCAUGUGGGUAAACAGAGUGCUUCAGUUUCAGAUAUGCUGUGCUGCUGUUCUGGUUUCUUCAGGGGAACGGAGAAAUAACAUUGUUUGUUCAGACUUGGUGAGAGAGAUGGGAAUACAUUGUACGUUGGUGGAAGAAGACAUAUGGAAAGGUUUGAAGCAAGUCAGCAUCUUGCUAAGCAAGAGAGAGAAUACCGGAUAAAUAAGUAUGUGUCCUGCGGAAAUAGCUGCUCAGACACUAAAGGCUAAAAUAAGUCUUUGGUUGUGUACAGACAUUUUGCAGAUAAUAAAAUUGUUAUCAAUGAAAGGGUAGUUUACCUG